GCAGUCGACGAUGAACUGGUGCUUGCAUCGGGGAUUAGUGGCGAACGGGUGAGUAACACGUGAGUAACCUGCCCUUAACUCUGGGAUAAGCCUGGGAAACUGGGUCUAAUACUGGAUAUUGACUUUUCUCCGCAUGGGGAUAAGUUGAAAGAUUUUUUGGUUUUGGAUGGACUCGCGGCCUAUCAGCUUGUUGGUGGGGUAAUGGCCUACCAAGGCGACGACGGGUAGCCGGCCUGAGAGGGUGACCGGCCACACUGGGACUGAGACACGGCCCAGACUCCUACGGGAGGCAGCAGUGGGGAAUAUUGCACAAUGGGCGAAAGCCUGAUGCAGCGACGCCGCGUGAGGGAUGACGGCCUUCGGGUUGUAAACCUCUUUCAGUAGGGAACAAGGCCAAUGUUUAGUUGGUUGAGGGUACUUGCAGAAGAAGCGCCGGCUAACUACGUGCCAGCAGCCGCGGUAAUACGUAGGGCGCAAGCGUUAUCCGGAAUUAUUGGGCGUAAAGAGCUCGUAGGCGGUUUGUCGCGUCUGCCGUGAAAGUCCGGGGCUCAACUCCGGAUCUGCGGUGGGUACGGGCAGACUAGAGUGAUGUAGGGGAGACUGGAAUUCCUGGUGUAGCGGUGAA
rnacentral:rRNA from 1 species